CUACGGGACGCUGCAGUGAGGAAUAUUGGUCAAUGGACGGAAGUCUGAACCAGCCAUGCCGCGUGAAGGAAGACGGCCCUAUGGGUUGUAAACUUCUUUUGAUCUGGGGUAAUAAGGGAGGUGCGCCUUCCGAUGAAAGUACAGGUCGAAUAAGCAUCGGCUAACUCCGUGCCAGCAGCCGCGGUAAUACGGAGGAUGCAAGCGUUAUCCGGAUUUAUUGGGUGUAAAGGGUGCGUAGGCGGACUUAUAAGUCAGCGGUGAAAUAUGCCGGCUCAACCGGCAGGCUGCCAGUGAUACUGUAAGUCUUGAGUGCGAACGGCGCAGGCGGAAUAUGUCAUGUAGCGGUGAAAUGCAUAGAGAUGACAUAGAACACCGAUCGCGAAGGCAGCUUGCGAGGACGCGACUGACGCUGAUGCACGAAAGUGUGGGUAUCAAACAGGAUUAGAUACCCCCGUAGUC
rnacentral:rRNA from 1 species